ACGGGUGAGUAAUAUAUCGGAACGUACCCAAGAGUGGGGGAUAACGUAGCGAAAGUUACGCUAAUACCGCAUACGAUCUAAGGAUGAAAGUGGGGGAUCUUCGGACCUCAUGCUCCUGGAGCGGCCGAUAUCUGAUUAGCUAGUUGGUGAGGUAAAGGCUCACCAAGGCGACGAUCAGUAGCUGGUCUGAGAGGACGACCAGCCACACUGGGACUGAGACACGGCCCAGACUCCUACGGGAGGCAGCAGUGGGGAAUUUUGGACAAUGGGCGCAAGCCUGAUCCAGCAAUGCCGCGUGAGUGAAGAAGGCCUUCGGGUUGUAAAGCUCUUUUGUCAGGGAAGAAACGGCCUCGGCUAAUAUCUGAGCCUAAUGACGGUACCUGAAGAAUAAGCACCGGCUAACUACGUGCCAGCAGCCGCGGUAAUACGUAGGGUGCAAGCGUUAAUCGGAAUUACUGGGCGUAAAGCGUGCGCAGGCGGUUUUGUAAGUCUGUCGUGAAAGCCCCGGGCUUAACCUGGGAAUUGCGAUGGAGACUGCAAGGCUUGAAUCUGGCAGAGGGGGGUAGAAUUCCACGUGUAGCAGUG
rnacentral:rRNA from 1 species